rnacentral:rRNA from 1 species
GACGAACGCUGGCGGCGUGCUUAACACAUGCCAGUCGAACGGAAAGGCCCUGCUUUUGUGGGGUGCUCGAGUGGCGCACGGGUGAGUAACACGUGAGUAACCUGCCCUUGACUUUGGGAUAACUUCAGGAAACUGGGGCUAAUACCGGAUAGGAGCUCCUGCUGCAUGGUGGGGGUUGGAAAGUUUCGGCGGUUGGGGCUGGACUCGCGGCUUAUCAGCUUGUUGGUGGGGUAGUGGCUUACCAAGGCUUAGACGGGUAGCCGGCCUGAGAGGGUUACCGGCCACAUGGGGACUGAGAGACGGCCCAGACGCCUACGGGAGGCAGCAGUGGGGAAUAUUGCACAAUGGGCGGAAGCCUGAUGCAGCAACGCCGCGUGCGGGAUGACGGCCUUCGGGGUGUAAACCGCUGUCGCCUGUGACGAAGCGUGAGUGACGGUAAUGGGUAAAGAAGCACCGGCUAACUACGUG